AUUGAACGCUGGCGGAAUGCUUUACACAUGCAAGUCGAACGGCAGCACGGGGGCAACCCUGGUGGCGAGUGGCGAACGGGUGAGUAAUACAUCGGAACGUGCCCGGUCGUGGGGGAUAAUGUAGCGAAAGUUACGCUAAUACCGCAUACGAUCUGAGGAUGAAAGCGGGGGACCUUCGGGCCUCGCGCGAUCGGAGCGGCCGAUGUCAGAUUAGGUAGUUGGUGGGGUAAAGGCCUACCAAGCCGACGAUCUGUAGCUGGUCUGAGAGGACGACCAGCCACACUGGGACUGAGACACGGCCCAGACUCCUACGGGAGGCAGCAGUGGGGAAUUUUGGACAAUGGGCGCAAGCCUGAUCCAGCCAUUCCGCGUGCAGGACGAAGGCCUUCGGGUUGUAAACUGCUUUUGUAUGGAACGAAAAGGCUCUGGCUAAUACCUGGGGCUCAUGACGGUACCGUAAGAAUAAGCACCGGCUAACUACGUG
rnacentral:rRNA from 1 species